rnacentral:piRNA from 1 species
UGGUGGAGUCUGUUCCAAUUC